GAUGAACGCUAGCGGCAGGCUUAAUACAUGCAAGUCGAGGGGCAGCAUGACUGUAGCAAUACAGUUGAUGGCGACCGGCAAACGGGUGCGGAACACGUACAGAACCUUCCUUCGAGCGGGGAAUAGCCCAGAGAAAUUUGGAUUAAUACCCCAUAGUACAUUAGAGUGGCAUCACUUUGAUGUUAAAGAUUUAACACUUGAAGAUGGCUGUGCGGCUGAUCAGGUAGUUGGCGGGGUAACGGCCCACCAAGCCUGCGAUCAGUAACUGGUGUGAGAGCACGACCAGUCACACGGGCACUGAGACACGGGCCCGACUCCUACGGGAGGCAGCAGUAAGGAAUAUUGGUCAAUGGACGAAAGUCUGAACCAGCCAUGCCGCGUGGAGGAUGAAGGUCCUCUGGAUUGUAAACUUCUUUUAUAUGGGACGAAAAAAGGGUUUUCUAACUCGUCUGACGGUACCAUAUGAAUAAGCACCGGCUAACUCCGUGCCAGCAG
rnacentral:rRNA from 1 species